rnacentral:rRNA from 1 species
AUUGAACGCUGGCGGCAGGCCUAACACAUGCAAGUCGGACGGUAGCACAGGGGAGCUUGCUCCUCGGGUGACGAGUGGCGGACGGGUGAGUAAUGUCUGGGGAUCUGCCCGAUAGAGGGGGAUAACCACUGGAAACGGUGGCUAAUACCGCAUAACGUCGCAAGACCAAAGAGGGGGACCUUCGGGCCUCUCACUAUCGGAUGAACCCAGAUGGGAUUAGCUAGUAGGCGGGGUAACGGCCCACCUAGGCGACGAUCCCUAGCUGGGCUGAGAGGAUGACCAGCCACACUGGAACUGAGACACGGUCCAGACUCCUACGGGAGGCGGCAGUGGGGAAUAUUGCACAAUGGGCGCAAGCCUGAUGCAGCCAUGCCGCGUGUAUGAAGAAGGCCUUCGGGUUGUAAAGUACUUUCAGCGGGGAGGAAGGCGAUGUGGUUAAUAACCUUGUCGAUUGACGUUACCCGCAGAAGAAGCACCGGCUAACUCCGUGCCAGCCGCCGCCGUAA